UACGGAGGGGGCGAGCGUUGUCCGAAUUUACUGGGCGUAAAGCGCGCGUAGGCGGGUUGGUAAGUCCGCUGUGAAAGCCCGGGGCUCAACUCCGGAGGGUCGGUGGAUACUGCCAGUCUUGAAGGUGCUAGGGGGAGAUGGAAUUACCGGUGUAGCGGUGAAAUGCGUAGAUAUCGGUAGGAACACCAGUGGCGAAGGCGGUCUCCUGGGGCAUUCUUGACGCUGAGGCGCGAAAGCUGGGGGAGCGAACGGG
rnacentral:rRNA from 1 species